rnacentral:lncRNA from 1 species
GUGGUGUCCUGGGCGGGGCUAGGGGAGCCGCUCCAAAGAUCGUGGCCAGAGACUGGGAACCGCGUCCCCUUAGGUACCUGUUGGAGCCAAGUUGUCUCUACUCCCACUGCGGGCGACUUACCCUGGCCUGGUUCUUUUCGAAGGCCGUAACUCUCCUCAGAUGCGGUUUCCUGUGCUGACCUGGGAGAGUCAGCCAUCAGCCGCGCAGCCGGGGGCACCGCAGCCCGGCGGCCCUGGAACCUUCCAGGUCAGAGGAGCUGCGGGGCUGGGAAAUGGGCUGGAGCGGAGCAGGGGCUUGUUUUCUGCAGUUGCUCUUAAGGACGCCGCGCUCACAAUUAUGCUGUGGAUUUUUAUCAUUGUCAGGAGGUUUGAGAUCCUAUGAACUGGGUGUAUCGUGCUUUGUUUGUUUGUUUGUUUGUUUUCAUUUAUCUUAUGGUUACCAGAAUGAUUUCCGAAAAUAGUGUCGUAGAACAUUUGCAGUACUGUAGUUUGCACACGGGGUUCUCUUUGUAACAGCAGUUACAAAGCUUCUCGAACUUAGAUUUCUUAACUCCCUUGACCCAUCAUUUGCCUACUCAGGAGAGAGUGGCUUAUGGCCUGGGAAAUAGGCAUCCUCAGAGGGCUUUGUAGGUAGAAGUAAAAAGAGGAACCAGGGCAGACUUGACUGACUCAGAAAGUAAGGGUCCAGACUUAACCAGGAUGUGAUUGGAAAGAGAGAGGUGGAGUUGGACAAAGGAAGAGAAGGGAAGAGAGAAUAGGGGGCAAGAGAAGAAGCGGGAGCCAAGAAAGCACCUAGCCAAAGUUGUCUCCUUUGAUACUGUUUGGUUUUGGAUGCCAGGACAAUGGACUGAGGUGCAUAUUUUAAAUAUCAAAGCAGACCUGACCUCAGGGUUCUACCAACCUGAGAGGCCCUGCCCUCAAUCCUAACUUUUCAGCCCAGGGUCCUGGUUGCCCUUCCACUAGAGGUGCCUCCCUAUAUAAUCCAAACGUUUUGGUCUCUAUCUCUCUUCCUCCUCUUCUUCUUCCUCUUCCUCCUCUACUGUGGAUGGGCCUGUUCUUGUGAACCAGUCCCCUAAUGAAUAUAGGAGCCAAUCACUGGGUGAGUACAUGGGACUUUCAGGUUGGACAUAGGAAGAGAGUAAACAAGAGAGAGUCGGGUCCUUUUGGAACCAAGACAGCAUAUGGGUAAGAUGUAGCUGCUUGAGUGUCCCAGUAUCAUGGCAGAUCCACAAGGAUCAACCACUAGAAGAAUAAGAGUACAAGGCUUACAAGAUUAGGUUUUCAGGGUUGUGCCCAGAGAUUGAGUUACUAUUGUUUCUGAAUUAAGUUUGUGUUGCAUUAUCCUUCACAUAGUGGCUUGCAUGGGUUCAAGAAAGAAAGGUACAGCAGCAAAGCGAGGGUUUGCCAGAUGUGUACCACAAACGAUGUGGGGGACUUAAAGCACAGGGUUGCUGUGGUAACAACCUGCCAGUGGGAACCUAGAGAGCUGGGUUGCAAGAUUGUGGAGCUUGGAAUCAGAGUCUCCAAGAGCUAAAAACAGGUUGACCAUUGCACGCCAGUGCAUGGCAGGCCAGGCCACCUGGGCAGAGACACAAGUGCCGAAACAUGCCAGUUUGUUUUUUAAUAUUUCCCACAACACUCCUCCUCCUCCUUCUCUUUCUCCUCUUUCUUCUAUUCCUCCUUCUCCUUUUCUUAUUUCUAGAAGCCUGUUAUUUUUCGCAUGCCCUUCCCCCCCUCGCCUCCUAUGGCAACUCUCCCAGCAUUAAUCACUGGGACCAGUGAACUAAACCAAGACCAGCUUCCCAAUAAAUUUGCUUUUAAUAUAUUCUAAUCUAGGUAGAUUUAGCUGAUUUCACAAAUAUGUUAUAUUUUCUCUUUCCUUCCUAUUAGUUAUGUUAAUGGGCACCUGAGUUAGCAGUUUAUCCGGAGUUUCUUUGAGACCUAAUAAGGUCUUGGCCAGCCUGGUAUGCAUGCGGUCUCCCACUGCUCAGCCAGUUCUGCUCACCUGUGAAUGAGAACUAAGAGCCCUGGGUGAUGAAGACAGAGGAGACUGUAGCCAAGGAUCCAGGUAUGUUUGAGGGAUUGAGCAAGGUAUGGUGUGGGUGUCAGGUGAUAGUAGAAAGAGUAUAAGACAUGAAAUUGCAUUUGUCAGUGUCUCUUUAAUUAAGGAGUCUAGACAGUUUCACUGUGAAUAAUAUUGUAUAUUUUAAGGUAGAUUUCCAGUUAUAGGCUGCACAGGAAGCAGUUGGCUAUUCUCAGUAUUUGGUUAGUUUUGAGACUCUGAAAUGACUGUUGCCCAUUGAAAAUAAAGAGUCUUUAAUCCAGACUAAAAGCAGAACCUGGCUAUGAGUAUGAACCAAGACAUUAGAACAUGUAGCAAAUUGAAAUCCCUUGUAAGGCCCAUUGAUCUUCCUUUUUUUCCCUCAAUUUUUUAUUAGAUAUUUUCUUCAUUUAUAUUUCAAAUGCUAUCCCAAAAGUCCCCUAUACCCUCCCCCCCACCGGCCCGCCCUGCUCCUCUACCCACCCACUCACACUUCUUGGCCCUGGUGUUCCCCUGUACUGGGGCAUGUAAAGUUAGCAAGACCAAGGGGCCUCUCCUCCCAUUGAUGGCCGACUAGACCAUCUUCUGCUACAUAUGCAGCUAGAGACACGAGCUCUGGGGGUACUGGUUAGUUCAUAUAUUUGUUCCACCUGUAGGGUUGCAGACCCCUUCAGUUCCUUGGAUACUUUCUCUAGCUCCUUCAUUAGGGGCCCUGUGUUCCAUCCUGUAGAUGAAUGUGAGCAACCACUUUUGUAUUUGCCAGGCAUAGCCUCACAUGAGACAGCUAUAUCAGGGUCCUUUCAGCAAAAUCUUGCUGGCAUGUGCAAUAGUGUCUGCGAUAUUCCUUUUUGUUGACUUUUUUUUUCUUGAAUUAUGGACUAGUUGAUGUAGUGUGUUAAGUUAUUCCUGAUUAGAGUAGAAUAAUUACAGUUUCCUUUUUUUUGUACUUUUUGUUUUAACUUUGUCUUUAUUAUUCUGAGGUAUGUUCCUUCUGUCCUCACAUUCUUUGGAGCUGUUGUACUGAAUAUAUGUCAUAUUUUACCACAAGGCUUUCAUGUAUCUAUUGACAUAGUCAUUUUUCUUCUCCCACUGCAUCUACAUCUUGGGUCUCUGACAUCAAUUAGUUGUAAAUGUUGAAACUCUUAUACUCUUGGUGUGAACUCAGCUUUCCUACCAUUUCAGUAUAACUUAAGAAACAGUACUCGUAUCUGUAAAAUGGCAGCUGGUCUGUGAUUUUUCUUUACAUAUGUUUGUUUGUGCUUAACUUUUUCCUAGAUAAGCCUUUUUAGGAGCAUCGCUUUGGCUCUAGCAUCUGUUAUUUUUCUGUCAAACUGGCUAGCACCCUCAGAAUAGUAUCCAGGAGAAUCUCAGUUGAAUUUUGUUUUAGGAACAUUAGUGAACCAGCCUCUCCAGGCCCUAUGGACAAGGGGCCUAAAUGGUCCCAGGCCUAGAGUGUGUAUAAGUGAGCCUACUCAUAGCUGGCAAGGAGUAAUGCCUGUGAAUCUCUGUGGAGAAGUCACCUUGGCUGAACAGCUGGUCAUAAUUCUAGUUUACUAAUUGAAAGUGGGUGAGGGGCUUGUGGUAAUCCUAUUUGUUGAUUAUAUAAUUUACUUUUCCUAGCCUGCAUCUGACAUUCAUUUCGAAACAGGGUUUCCCCCUGUACAACAGAGUACCAGGGCGUAUCCCUAUCUCUCCUGGAGGCCAUGUCAACAAAGGCCUUGCUAACAAAAUCAGAAGACAUAACAACAUAAAGAGAUAAAGAGAGACAUAACAACAGAAACUGAUAAAAUAUUCUUACUACAAAAGCCUAUACUCUACAAAACUGGAAAAUCUAGAUGAAAUGGAUGAUUUUCAAGACAGAUACUACAUACCAAAGUUAAAUACAGAUCAGGUAAACUAAAUAGUCCCAUAACCCCUAAGGAAGUAGAAGCAGUUUUCAAAUCCUAUCC